rnacentral:rRNA from 1 species
AGUGAACGCUGGCGGUAGGCCUAACACAUGCAAGUCGAACGGCAGCACAGUAAGAGCUUGCUCUUACGGGUGGCGAGUGGCGGACGGGUGAGGAAUACAUUGGAAUCUACUUUUUCGUGGGGGAUAACGUAGGGAAACUUACGCUAAUACCGCAUACGACGUACGGGUGAAAGCAGGGGAUCUUCGGACCUUGCGCGAGUGAAUGAGCCGAUGUCGGAUUAGCUAGUUGGCGGGGUAAAGGCCCACCAAGGCGACGAUCCGUAGCUGGUCUGAGAGGAUGAUCAGCCACACUGGAACUGAGACACGGUCCAGACUCCUACGGGAGGCAGCAGUGGGGAAUAUUGGACAAUGGGCGCAAGCCUGAUCCAGCCAUACCGCGUGGGUGAAGAAGGCCUUCGGGUUGUAAAGCCCUUUUGUUGGGAAAGAAAAGCAGCAGGUUAAUACCCCGCUGUUCUGACGGUACCCAAAGAAUAAGCACCGGCUAACUUCGUG